AUAGUAUAGUUGACAAAUCCAAAAUAAUCACAUAAUCCUUAAUUUUUCAAACUAAUUGAAAAUUCAAAUUCAAUUCCAUCACGUAACUCUCACCACUCUAUAAAAACCAUAAUACAAACCACACACAAUUAACAUUAAAAAAAAAAAAAACAAAAAAAAAAAAAAGAAAAAGAAAAAUGAAUUUCACCAAAUCCAUCUUCACACUCCUCCCACUUCUCUUCCUCCACACCACCCACGCCAUAAUCUUCAACAUCCAAAACAACUGCCCCUACACCGUCUGGCCGGCCGCCGUCCCGGGCGGCGGCCGCCGCCUCGACAGCGGCCAGACAUGGACGAUCGGCUUCCCAAACGUCCCGAAACUCGCCAAAAUCUGGGCCCGAACAAACUGCACCUUCGACUCCUCCGGUCAGGGCAGCUGCCUGACCGGCGACUGCGGCGGGCAGCUCCGGUGCCGAUCCUACGGGUCGCCGCCGCACACGCUCGCCGAGUACGGGCUGAACAGCUUCGCGCGCAAGGACUACUACGACAUCUCCGUGAUGGAAGGGUUCAACGUGCCCAUCGAAUUCACGCCCACCACGAACGGGUGCACCCGACCCGUUACAUGCGCGGCGGAUGUAACGGGUCAGUGCCCGACCCAACUCAGAGCGCCCGGCGGGUGCAACAACCCGUGCACGGUGUUCAAAACGACGGAGUAUUGCUGCCACUCCGGGGCCUGCCGGCCGACGGAUUUUCGCGGUUCUUUAAGGCGAGGUGCCGCGAUGCUUUCACGUACCCGGAGGAUGACCCGACUAGCACUUUUACCUGCCCCGAGGGUACCAGUUACCGGUUUGUCUUCUGUCCUUAAGUAGAUCACAUUGUGUAUCUAUCGCUUUUGUGUUGCUAUUAGUAUUAUUGGACCACGCUUUUAGUUCUCACUGUAUUGUUUUGUAGUAAAGAGAAUUGUAGACGUUGUUAUGAUAACAGCGACGUACACUAUUGUUGGUGAUUAGCAGUAACGAAUUUCCGCACAUGUAUGUAGUUAUGUGCAAUUUACAGGUUAUAAAUUAAUGGACAUAUUAUAAAUAA